rnacentral:rRNA from 1 species
UGAGUACGAGCUGCUACGGCAGCGAAGUGGGUGAUGUCAAGCUUCCAAGAAAAGCCCUAUACCCGUUAAGGCAUGACGGCCUGUACCCGAAACCGACACAGGUGGGGUGGUAGAGAAUACCGAGGGGCGCGAGAUAACUCUCUCUAAGGAACUCGGCAAAAUGGCCCCGUAACUUCGGAAGAAGGGGUGCCACCGCAAGGUGGUCGCAGUGAAGAGGCCCAGGCGACUGUUUACCAAAAACACAGGUCUCCGCUAAGUCGCAAGACGAUGUAUGGGGGCUGACGCCUGCCCAGUGCCGGAAGGUUAAGGAAGCUGGUCAGCGCAAGCGAAGCUAGCGGCUGAAGCCCCGGUGAACGGCGGCCGUAACUAUAACGGUCCUAAGGUAGCGAAAUUCCUUGUCGGGUAAGUUCCGACCCGCACGAAAGGCGUAACGAUCUGGGCGCUGUCUCGGAGAGAGGCUCGGCGAAAUAGAAUUGUCUGUGAAGAUGCGGACUACGUGCACCCGGACAGAAAGACCCUAUGAAGCUUUACUGUAGCUUGGUAUUGUGCCCGGGCUCUGAAUGCGCAGGAUAGGUGGGAGGCUUUGAUCCAUUGCUUGUGGGUGAUGGUGAGCCACUGGUGAGAUACCACUCUUUCAGAGCUAGGGUUCUAACGGUCACCCGUUAUCCGGGGACCGGACAGUAUCAGGUGGGCAGUUUGACUAGGGCGGUCGCCUCCUAAAAGGUAACGGAGGCGCGCAAAGGUUCCCUCAGGCUGGUUGGAAAUCAGCCGACGAGUGUAAAGGCAGAAGGGAGCUUGACUGUGAGACCUACAAGUCGAACAGGGACGAAAGUCGGCCUUAGUGAUCCGACGGUUCUGAGUGGAAGGGCCGUCGCUCAACGGAUAAAAGUUACUCUAGGAUAACAGUCUGAUCUCCCCCAAGAGUUCACAUCGACGGGGAGGUUUGGCACCUCGAUGUCGGCUCAUCGCAACCUGGGGCUGAAGUCGGUCCCAAGGGUUGGGCUGUUCGCCCAUUAAAGCGGUACGCGAGCUGGGUUCAGAACGUCGUGAGACAGUUCGGUCCAUAUCCGGUGCACGCGCAGGAACAUUGAGAGGAUUUCUCCCUAGUACGAGAGGACCGGGAGGAACGCACCUCUGGUGUACCAGUUAUCGUGCCAACGGUAAACGCUGGGUAGCCAUGUGCGGAGCGGAUAACCGCUGAAAGCAUCUAAGUGGGAAGCCCACCUCAAGAUGAGUGUUCCCAUGGCAUAAGCCAGUAAGGUCACGGGAAGAACACCCGUUGAUAGGCUCUACGUGGAAGCGUGGCAACACGUGAAGCGGAGGAGUACUAAUAGACC